rnacentral:misc_RNA from 1 species
GAUGAAGAACGUAGCGAAAUGCGAUAAGUAGUGUGAAUUGCAGAUUUCAGUGAAUCAUCGAAUCUUUGAACGCACAUUGCGCCCUGUGGUAUUCCGCAGGGCAUGCCUGUUCGAGCGUCAUUGACACCCUCAAGCUCUGCUUGGUCUUGGGCGUUUGUGCCUGCCGUUGCGCAGGGACUCGCCUCAAACUCAUUGGCAGCCUGCCUUUGCCGGUCUUUGCACAGCACAGUCGUGCCAAAGCCGCGGUGAGCAGGCGCUCCACAAGCCCUUUUCAGCUUGACCUCGGAUCAGGUAGGAAUACCCGCUGAACUUAAGCAUAUCAAUAAGCGGAGGA